GGUCUGAGUCCUGAGUGUUAGAUAAGAUAUAAGUCGUAACAUGGCUGCUGUUGGAGAACCAGCAGCAGGAUCAGUA
rnacentral:rRNA from 1 species